UGUAAUUUGCAUGCCUGUGCACGUUUGAUGCUUUUCUGGCAUUCUUGAUAAGAUGUAUUGAUAUGCCUCACAACACUUGCAUAUUUUCUGUUCUUCUUUUUUAUGCAGUUCUAUUUCGAUGAAUGACUGAUUUAACAAGUUAAUUUUAUCACUUGAUUUUUAUCACAGUUCAAACACACUUUGGUUUUCACAGUAAAAUCAAACUUAACUUUUGAUCAUGUAUUUUAAUCUAAUGAAACUAGUACAUUUCUUAUAUUUUCUGCAUUUAAAUGUUACUGAUUUGUAUUACAUACAAAUAUAACAGAAGGCCUAAAGAGGACAUAGUGGAUUGAAGUAAUACAUAAGUGUGUUAAACGUAAAAAAAUAAAGCUAAUUGUUGGUUGCUGAACUUCAGUGAUGUGAAUUUUAAUCCACAGGACCAAAAAUUCAAAUUCAAAAGAUUCAAAAGAUUCAGGUUCAAAAUCCAGUGCCGACCAGAAAGUGUCCAAAGUUCGUUUCCCGUCCCCCAAAAGCCAGCCCAAAUCCUGCAAUUACCAAGAGGACCUUGAUGACGGGGACGAUUACAUGAACACUGCCGACGUCAACAUCUAUGGAAACAUAUGAAAAAACACCAAAAGAUUCUAAUCAUGCUCAUAAUGGUCAUCUGUAUUAAGAGCAUCUGAUGACUGCAGUUUUUAUACACGACUACUGUGGUAUUCUCUGUUAUCAAGCAAACUAUAUUUGAUUCUCUCUUUGAUAAUUUCAUCAAUUAUUUAGGGAAAGUAAAAUUCAUUGGUAAGUGCAACUUUGUUCAGCCAGAGUACUUGUUUGUUUUCACCAUUGUUAGUGAUUUUUCCAAUGAGGUUUUCAAUCUUAAUAAUGCAAAGCAAACCAUCAGGUGUCUGGUUCCAUAUUUUUCUUGGCAAAAAGGUGAAUUGUAUUAAAUGUAUUAUUAUUGUAAGUGUAUUUCCCAAAAUGUUAAAUAAUUAAAAAUAUGACCUCAUAAUGGGAAAAGCCAAAAAGCUGUAAACAGGACCUAUAUAUCAUGGGUAAUUAUCUUCCAGCAUCUAAAUACAGGUCAAAUGUUUUUAUACAGUAUAUUAGCAAUAUGUAAGAACUCAGUAUGAUAUGGGUUAUUGAUUUUAUUGUACAUUUUAGAGUGAGGUUUCUUCAACUCAUGAGUGGUUAGGGACUUCAAAAGGUGCUGAAACGCUUCAUAAACUUUCAACUCUUGGGGUAAGUCAUUCUGAUAUUUUCGAAUUAGUGAAUAAAAGAAGCUUUUCUUUACCUUGCAUUUUACAACUGUAUUAGAUGAAAAACUGAAUUUCAAAUUAAUUUUCCCAAAAUAUUGAUUUAUGUAACUAUGGUGACAUCAUUGCUUCUUUGAAAUUCUAAUAGAACGGCACAGAGUUAGAUUUUUUCAUUCCAAAUCUGAGACAGUUAAGUUUAAGUACAGGAAACAGAUCUUGCAUGUUGCUAAAAUAUCCGUCUCCACUUUACAAUUUACUGUCUCUUUUUUACUCAAAAUAAAUCUUUAGGAUGAGAUUAUAAUUUUCUUGUUGCCCUUAGUCCGUCUCAGGAGUUUUCUGAAAUGGAGAAUGUUUUUCUGGACUACAACAUCAACCUUGUUCUGCUUUUAUAUACCAUAUUGCCACAAAUUAACAUUGACUGACCUAACUUUAGAACAUUUAAAACUUGAACUGCUUUAGAAACGAGCAACUAUCUCGGUAUGUUGAAAAAUGCUUUCUAGGCCUAGAAAGGUGUCUUUAUUUAAAAUAGUUUUCAGGUUGUAUUUUUCUUUCUUUCUAUGGCAAACCAUGUAUCAGAUUAAGUAAUCUAUAUGUAUUCUUUGCAACCCUUUUUUGUUAUUGCUACCUAUUUUGCCUGUAUUUUUAUUAUAAAUAAGUUUUCCCUGUUUUAUUUUGAAAAUAAAUACAUCAAAGAUUGAAUUUGCUAUUUUUCCAGCACAUGCACAUGACGUAGCAGACUCUCAUUGCGUUAGUAUAUACAUAUAUAUCUAUCGGUAUGUAUGAAAUCACUUGAUAUUUUGGGCCAUUUAUGUACAGGAUGUAAAAUGCAUGUGUGCUCUCUCUUUUUUCACAUUGUCUUUUUGGGUUUGUUUUUCUUUUAUCUAUUCUGGUUCAAUAGUCUUGGCCUUUAAACUGUUACUCCGCCCAAAUACAGCUGCAGACAUUCACCCUCUGUACAUCUUGUAGUUAUAGAAUUACAGUCUUUUUAGUAUGGGUAUAUGCAAUUUUUUGAGCAGAGGCCUAAAAAUAGGCUCAGAGCUUAAAAGGUUAAGAAGGCGUACAACCAGACUUUCGUUGACUUUGCUCGGGAUAAAAUUAUUAUUUUUGAUUGUUGGUGUAAAGCAUGUAACGCUGACGAACUAGCCUCUGUGUGUGAACUCAUUUUAGAAGAAAUAAAAAAUUGGUUGCCUGAG